GGCCGCUUGGUGGAACUGGUAGACACAAGGCACUUAAAAUGCCUCGGGCUUCGCCCGUGCGGGUUCGAUUCCCGCAGCGGCCACCA
rnacentral:tRNA from 1 species